rnacentral:rRNA from 1 species
AAUGGGCGAAASUGACGCAGCGACGCCGCGUGUGGGAUGACGGCCUUCGGGUUGUAAACCACUGUCGGGAGGGACGAAUGCGCCGCAAGGGAGUGACGGUACCUCCAAAGGAAGCACCGGCUAACUCCGUGCCAGCAGCCGCGGUAAUACGGAGGGUGCGAGCGUUGUCCGGAAUCACUGGGCGUAAAGGGCGCGUAGGCGGCCUGGUAAGUAGGGGGUGAAAUCCUGCGGCUUAACCGCAGGCUGCCCUCUAAACUGUCAGGCUCGAGCACAGUAGAGGCAGGUGGAAUUCCCGGUGUAGCGGUGGAAUGCGUAGAGAUCGGGAAGAACAUCAGUGGCGAAGGCGGCCUGCUGGGCUGUUGCUGACGCUGAGGCGCGACAGCGUGGGGAGCAAACAGGAUUAGAUACCCUGGUAGUCCUAGCCCUAAACGAUCAGGACUUGACGUGGGCCCCGUCCGGGGUCCGUGCCGUAGCCAACGCGAUAAGUCCUGCGCCUGGGGAGUACGGUCGCAAGGCUG